rnacentral:lncRNA from 1 species
AUGCAAGGCCUGGGGGCGGGUUCUCCUGGAGUGGAAACGCUAACCAACAAUUCUUCCCGCAGAUCGAACCAGCUGUUGGAAUCCCGCGCGUCCGUUCCCACCGCUGUCACUGCCACACCCUCAGCGAAGAUGCCCCAGCACUCGACGGGGGACAAGCCCCUCGUCUCAAUGCCGCAGCUGGUCUUCCCCGGCCUACCCUCGGGCACCGACAGCGAGUGUGACCACACACCCUCCAGCAGGCGGGUGUCCCUCAGUGCACCCCUGAGCCAGCCACUGUGCCAGCCCGAGAAGCGUGGGCCCCAGGCAGCCCAGGAGGUGUGCUACGUGGCAGCUGGACAGCCCGGGGAGGCUUGCGGCUGGCGGGCCUUUGCCCCUGCGUGCCUGCAGGCCUUCAACACACCGCAGGGCUUCCUGCUGUUCCUGUGCGUGGCCUCCUUCCUGCAGGGCAUGACGGUGAAUGGCUUCAUCAACACCGUUAUCACGUCCAUUGAGCGGCGCUAUGACCUUCACAGCUACCAAAGCGGCCUCAUCGCCAGCUCCUAUGACGUGGCUGCGUGCCUCUGCCUCACCUUCGUCAGCUACUUUGGAGGCCAAGGCCACAAGCCCCGCUGGUUGGGCUGGGGCGUGCUGGUCAUGGGCACUGGCUCGCUGGUCUUCGCGCUGCCGCACUUCACUGCCGGCCGCUAUGAGGUGCAGGUGGAUGAAGUCGUGGGGACCUGCUGGGCCAACCACAGCUCAACAUGCAGGGAUGGCGCCUCCGGCCUGUCCAGCUACCGGCUGGUCUUCAUGCUGGGCCAGUUCCUGCAUGGCAUGGGUGCCACACCGCUCUACACACUGGGCGUCACCUACCUGGAUGAGAACGUCAAGUCCAGCUACUCACCGGUCUACAUUGCCACCUUCUACACCGCGGCCAUCCUUGGCCCCGCAGCUGGCUACCUGGUGGGCGGCGCCCUGCUGAACAUUUACACCGAUAUCAGCCAACAGACGGAGCUGACCACCGAGAGCCCACUGUGGGUGGGCGCCUGGUGGGUUGGCUUCCUGGGCGCUGGGGCUGCUGCCUUCCUCGUCGCUGUCCCCAUCCUCGGCUACCCACGGCAGCUGCCAGGCUCCCAGCGCUAUGUGGUCAUGAAAGCAUCUGAAACAUACCAGCUGAAGGACAGUAGCCACAAGGUGACCAGCAACCCUGACUUCGGGAAAACCAUCAGAGACCUGCCUCUCUCCAUCUGGCUCCUCCUAAAGAACCCCACGUUCAUCCUGCUCUGCCUGGCCGGGGCCACCGAGGCCACGCUCAUCGCCGGCAUGUCCACGUUCGGGCCCAAGUUCAUCGAGUCGCAAUUCAGCCUCAGCGCCUCAGAAGCCGCCACCUUGUUUGGGUACCUGGUGGUGCCAGCGGGAGGUGGAGGCACGUUCCUGGGUGGAUUCUUUGUGAACAAGUUCAAACUCCGAGGCUCCGGGAUCAUCAAGUUCUGCCUGCUCUGCACCCUGGUCAGCCUGCUGGCCUCCUUCAUCUUCCUCAUGCACUGCCCCGGGGUUCCCAUGGCAGGUGUGACCGCCGGCUACAACAGGAGCCUCCUGCCUGAAGGGCACCUGGAGCUGAUGGCUGCCUGCAACACUCACUGCGGCUGCCAGACAGAGCACUACAGCCCCGUGUGCGGCUCCGAUGGCCUCAUGUACUACUCGCCGUGCUAUGCGGGCUGCUUGGAGGUGGCCGUGUCUGGCCCUGGCGGCCAGAAGGUGUACCGAGACUGUAGCUGUAUCCCUCAGAAUUUUUCCUCUGGUUUUGGCCAUGCUACCGCAGGGAAAUGCACUUCAACUUGUCAGAGAAAGCCCCUCCUUCUGGUUUUCAUAUUCGUUGUAAUUGUCUUUACCUUCCUCAGCAGCAUUCCUGCACUAACAGCGACUUUACGGUGCGUCUGUGAUCAGCAGAGAUCUUUUGCACUGGGAAUCCAGUGGAUCGUGGUUAGAACUCUAGGCAGCAUCCCGGGGCCCAUUGCCUUCGGCUGGGUGAUCGACAAGGCAUGUCUGCUCUGGCAAGACCAGUGCGGCCAGCAGGGCUCCUGCUUUGUGUACCAGAAUUCGACCAUGAGCUGGUACCUGCUCAUCGCAGGGGUGGGAUACAAGGUCCUGGGCUCCAUAUUCUUUGCCAUUGCCUGCUUUCUGUACAAGAGCCCAUUGGGGUCUUCUGAUGGCCUGGAGGCUUCUCUGCCCAGCCAGUCCUCGGCCUCUGACAACCCCUCAGACCUUCAGGAAGCCCCCUCAGCUCUCCGGAUCCAGAGUGACAUCUGACGGCCCAGCUGCCCACCCAGGGGCAUGGACUUGCCACAUAGCAUGUCCUGGAAACACUGUCUCAUUGCUCCCUGGACGCGGGGACCCCUCCCCGAUUGAGGCCCAGCAUUGAAGACCUGCAAAAAUCUGCUGGUGGAUCUUGGGGGACUGAGCUGAUGACCACACAUCGAAGCCUCAAGGGCACCGGGGAGGAAGAAUGCAAGAUGCAUCCAAGUGGAAGCCCCUGGCCCAGCCCCCCUGGACCUCGCCAAUGGAGCAGGGUGACCGGCUCUUGGCGUGGGAGAAGCAGCUGGCUUCCCGGCUGGAUGAGGCACCAUCUCUCUUUGGUCCCUCACUCUCAGCUCUUUCCCAUGGACUUGGCAAGAUGGCGUCCCUGGGAGCCUCAGGGUCCCUUGGAAACAUGGACAGCUGUGCUUGUAAAGCCACCUGUGCCCUCCUAUGUGACUGCGUCUGUCAUUGCACAGAAUGCAAAACCACCUGUGGACUCCAGGGAGCUGCUUCCGUGUCCCCUCUUCUCUCCUUC